AGUAGUUCAACAUUCUGUGCUCAUUGUGGGUAGAGGUUAAUAACUCUGCUGCUUCAGCCUAUGCUAAUUAGGUCAAGAUUUAGAACUUUCACAAAAUUGAUGAGUUAAGUCCCUAAGGUGGGGACAUGCAUGAUUUUCUAAUACAGGAAGAACUCUGUUAAUAAUGCCACCAUAAUAUUAAUGAUGUAUCUGUUGCCAUACAGGUUAAUUAUGUUACAUUGUUCUGUGGUACCUUUACAUGGUCUCAUAACAUUAACAACUGUUAUGUAUAUGCCAAGGCCUAGAAUAAGUUUUUCUUUCUUUUUUGUUUGAGAUGGAGGAGUGGUAAUCACUUUGUUCUCUGUCAGUAAAGAACCAAUAAGAAGUGAAGCAGGCUCCAAUUAAAAGAGAACAUGUUGGUUAGAUGUAAGGAAGCAAAUCCUCCAAGAAAGGUCUACCUGAGGAGAAUUGUGAUAUUGGUUUGGGACAGAACUCUCCUUUUUUUGGAAAGUGCAGAUAAACAGUAUGGCCUCUGCAUUCUCUGCUGUUGAUGAAACCUUGCAUCUCGCACUUUCUUUUCUUCCUACCAUUAUCAACAGUCCUUCUGCAAAAAAGAGGUAGAGUUUCCUUAUCUUUCCAAUCUAAUGCUUCUAAAUAAUGUCAAUCGUGGUUUACCCAUGAUGUGAACCAGUCUAAUUUUCUUUAUAGAUGUCAAAUGUAAAGUUCAUAUGAUUUAUUGGUAACUUAUGUGCUAUUCCUUUCACAAAUAUUGCACAGCCUUUGCCAGAGGAUGCUUCCUAGUCAUAAACCUCAAAUGGUGCAAAAGUGAAAACUGACUCUAAAAGCUCUUAAAACAGUACAUGGAUGAAAUAUACUAGAUAAUCUUUUUUGGUAUGAGAGGAGUCAAGUGUAAAUAAAGCAAAGCCUCCCUUCACUUAUAUACAUGCAUGCAUGUGUGCAUGCACUUAUAAGUUUGUAUAUGGAACUUUUGUUGCAACCUAAGUCUCUGCAAAUCAAUUUUCUUAUAUCUUGUCAAUAAUGCCAUGAACCAACUAAUUGAAAUCUCGUACUUUUGGAGUUGGGAACUUGCUUUUGGCUGAGUGGGUAGACAUAAAGGAGUUACAGAAUGCCUGAAAAGUCCAUAUGAAAGAAAAAUCAUAGGCAGAUACAAACGCAUAUAACCUCAACUUAGGAAAUAGUUGUAAAAAGAAGAUAAUAGCAGAAAAAACAAAAAUUUUCUGUAUAGUAUUAAGAAAUUUUUACCAGUAGCAAACUGCUUAUCAUGUGUAUAUAUAGAGUGGCUGAUUGAAAGUACAAUCCUGAGGACCUAAAGUGCUUUCCAUAAAACACAAUUAUUGUAAGCUAUAGGUAACUGGUAUAAUCUAGAAAAGGCACAUAUCUCAUCUUCCAACUUGAGAUGACGUCAAGAAAAAGUUACCUACUGGUAGUUGAAACUUAAUGUCUAAUACUUAAAAGCAAAAGCUUUGGGGAAAAAAUUCUAAGCCAUAUUAGAAAUCUCCUAAGAGGGUAGUCAAUAAAACUAAAGAUUUAAAAUUUUCGUUUGAGUAAAAGCAAAACAAAAAACCU
ensembl:lncRNA